rnacentral:lncRNA from 1 species
AUUUUGGUUUUUUCGAGUUCGAUAACAAAUAAUCGAUUCGAUUUAUCGAUAAACCGAUUCAAAUGCACACCCCUACCAACCACUCACGUUAAAACAAACAAAUCACUCAUAGAAAACGAGAGAAAAGAAUACAAAAGAAAACUACAAUAUCUGUAAUCACAUUAAUGUAACCAUCUUCCACCCAUUCCUUACUGCUGGUUUAACGCAUUAUAUGCUGCUAAUUUCCUCUUUGCAUUGAUGACUUGUGUUAUUACACUCUGCUUCCUUUUGUUUACCCCACAAAACACCAUAAAGUCCCAUCACUAGCAAUAUUGCUCCACAUACACUGUCAAUAUUUCAGAGGGGCAAACCAUUAGGAAAUCCACUUUAAAAAGUAGUAGUGCUAUUAAUAGAAAGUACAUUAGUUUAAAACUUAGGCUGUCUUUUUCCCAAAAAUGUGAAUUAAGUACUACUUGUUAUGAAAUAGAAGAUUCUUACACUUUUAUUUAAGGUGAAUGUCUUUAAUGUACUUAGUUAGAGAGAUUUUAGAGUCCUAUUAUUGGUAG